rnacentral:rRNA from 1 species
AUUGAACGCUGGCGGCAGGCCUAACACAUGCAAGUCGAACGGUAACAGGAAGAAGCUUGCUUCUUUGCUGACGAGUGGCGGACGGGUGAGUAAUGUCUGGGCAACUGCCUGAUGGAGGGGGAUAACUACUGGAAACGGUAGCUAAUACCGCAUAAUGUCGCAAGACCAAAGAGGGGGACCUUCGGGCCUCUUGCCAUCGGCUGUGCCCAGAUGGGAUUAGCUAGUAGGUGGGGUAACGGCUCACCUAGGCGACGAUCCCUAGCUGGUCUGAGAGGAUGACCAGCCACACUGGAACUGAGACACGGUCCAGACUCCUACGGGAGGCAGCAGUGGGGAAUAUUGCACAAUGGGCGCAAGCCUGAUGCAGCUAUGCCGCGUGUAUGAAGAAGGCCUUCGGGUUGUAAAGUACUUUCAGCGGGGAGGAAGGGAGUAAAGUUAAUACCUUUGCUCAUUGACGUUACCCGCAGAAGAAGCACCGGCUAACUCCGUG